GAGCCGUGGAAGGGAGUUACGGGACAGGCGGGCGUGUCAAAGCUGAGCCGACCAACCGGCCGCCGCCGAGGACAACACAUCUCCCUCCGGCUGAAGGCUGCAGCGGCUGCAGGUAACCAAAGAUGGAGGGCGCUAGCAUGGAGUUUUUGCUGGACGCGGUCGACAUAUUCCCCUACGGGAGGAGUACGCGGAAAACUUCGAAUACCUAGAUCCAGUUCCGCUUGCAGUCGUCCCGCGGGGUGAUGGCACCGGCGGUGAGCCUGCUGACUCAAUCGCUGGGUCCAGCUGCGGGCAGAGAGUGGGCGGCGCUAGCCAGGGGCACCCAGAGGCCGACGAGCGGCGUCGACGGGAGGCCUCGCCGAUGAGAUCCGCAUAAUCUGCCAACAGAGUGUAUCCUGAGCCCCCUGGAUGGACAAAAAGAUUACGCCUCGGGAGUGUGUGACCGGAUAGAACACUAUGUCCAUCUAGGAUGAGUCCGUUUGAGCAGUCAAUCCGCAAGUACGCAGAGGAGCCUACAAAAAGCAUGGUGUGCCCAGAACUAAGACUCAUUUUUGAUUCGCUCGGUGAGGCGUAUGACUUCUACAACCUGGGAAAUUGGGUUCGGGAUAUGGUAUGUCAAGAGCAGACUACGAAAUCAAUGCAGGAGAUCGCUUGUGGUUGCUCGGGCAAGCCGGAGACCAAGAAUAGCCAUUAGUUGUGUUUAACAAUUCUGUGUGCAUGGGUAAAGAUCUCUCCAUUAUGAAAAAUGUUUUUGUGAUGUUCUUCAGUUUCCCUGGGGCCACUGGUAGCUGUUUUGGCACAAUUUGUUGUUCGACUCUGUAUGUUCAGGCCAUGAAUGUUGUUCGGAUGGGGGAUGCCAGUGCGGAAGCGUUUGAGCAUAUGUUGGCUGGACUGAAGGCAUUGCUGGUGAGCAGUGCACCAUUUGCAGAGAAGAGGGAUGGCUUGGGCACUUGCCCUGACCGGGGCGGAUGCUCUGAAGAAACGGCGGAGGCCGGGGAAAUGCAAGAACUAUGGAAUGGAAGGGCGCCACCUGGACACGUGCACUUGGCUGCUUGGUGAUGAUCACUAAUCAUAAUCAAAUAUGUAACUAUAUAUUUUUUAAUAUGUGUGUUGUAGUCUAAGGAUUUUUCUCGUGUGUUUCAGUGAGCAUUGCUCCACGCUUAUUCGUCCAGUUCGGGACUUGAGGCCAAACUAUAGUACUGAGUAAACUUUGUUCA